CCUACGGGAGGCAGCAGUGGGGAAUAUUGGACAAUGGGCGAAAGCCUGAUCCAGCAAUGCCGCGUGAGUGAUGAAGGCCUUAGGGUUGUAAAGCUCUUUUACCAGGGAUGAUAAUGACAGUACCUGGAGAAUAAGCUCCGGCUAACUCCGUGCCAGCAGCCGCGGUAAUACGGAGGGAGCUAGCGUUGUUCGGAAUUACUGGGCGUAAAGCGUGCGUAGGCGGUGACUCAAGUCAGAGGUGAAAGCCUGGAGCUCAACUCCAGAACUGCCUUUGAAACUAGGUCGCUAGAAUCACGGAGAGGUGAGUGGAAUUCCGAGUGUAGAGGUGAAAUUCGUAGAUAUUCGGAAGAACACCAGUGGCGAAGGCGGCUCACUGGACGUGUAUUGACGCUGAGGCACGAAAGCGUGGGGAGCAAACAGGAUUAGAUACCCUGGUAGUCCACGCCGUAAACGAUGAUAACUAGCUGCCAGGGCUCUUAGAGCUUUGGUGGCGCAGCUAACGCAUUAAGUUAUCCGCCUGGGGAGUACGGUCGCAAGAUUAAAACUCAAAAUGAAUUGACGG
rnacentral:rRNA from 1 species